UCUCGGUGAUGAAAAAUUUUCACAGACCUGUACUGACAUCUGUGAGGAAAAAAUACUUUUCUGAAGAGAC
rnacentral:snoRNA from 1 species